rnacentral:rRNA from 1 species
GAAUAUUGCACAAUGGGGGAAACCCUGAUGCAGCGACGCCGCGUGAGUGAAGAAGUCCUUCGGUAUGUAAAGCUCUAUCAGCAGGGAAGACGAUGACGGUACCUGAAUAAGCAGCCCCGGCUACCUACGUGCCAGCAGCCCCGGUAAUACGGAGGGGGCAAGCGUUAUCCGGAUUUACUGGGUGGAAAGGGAGCGAAGGUGGUGAAGCAAGUCAGAUGUGAAAGCCCGUGGCUCAACUCCGGGACUGCAUUUGAAACUGUUUUGCUAGAGUGCAGGAGAGGUAAGUGGAAUUCCUAGUGUAGCGGUGAAAUGCGUAGAUAUUAGGAGGAACACCAGUGGCGAAGGCGGCUUACUGGACUGUAACUGACACUGAGGCUCGAAAGCGUGGGGAGCAAACA